AAAAAACAACUUUUGGCAACGGAUCUCUUGGUUCUCCCAUCGAUGAAGAACGCAGCGAAUUGCGAUAAGUAAUGUGAAUUGCAGAAGUGAAUCAUCGAAUCUUUGAACGCACCUUGCGCUCCCUGCAGAUCUAAUCUGGGGAGCAUGCCUGUUUGAGGGCCGCG
rnacentral:rRNA from 1 species